GAUGAACGCUGGCGGCGUGCCUAAUACAUGCAAGUCGAGCGAAUGGAUUAAGAGCUUGCUCUUAUGAAGUUAGCGGCGGACGGGUGAGUAACACGUGGGUAACCUGCCCAUAAGACUGGGAUAACUCCGGGAAACCGGGGCUAAUACCGGAUAACAUUUUGAACCGCAUGGUUCGAAAUUGAAAGGCGGCUUCGGCUGUCACUUAUGGAUGGACCCGCGUCGCAUUAGCUAGUUGGUGAGGUAACGGCUCACCAAGGCAACGAUGCGUAGCCGACCUGAGAGGGGGAUCGGCCACACUGGGACUGAGACACGGCCCAGACUCCGACGGGAGGCAGCAGUAGGGAAGCUUCCGCAAUGGACGAAAGUCUGACGGAGCAACGCCGCGUGAGUGAUGAAGGCUUUCGGGUCGUAAAACUCUGUUGUUAGGGAAGAACAAGUGCUAGUUGAAUAAGCUGGCACCUUGACGGUACCUAACCAGAAAGCCACGGCUAAUUACGUGCCAGCCGCCGCCGUAA
rnacentral:rRNA from 1 species